GAUGCCACGUGCAUAAAGACAGCCCUCUGGGUCGUAAACGGCUUUCAUUCGGGAAUAAACCUACUUACGUGUAAGUAGCUGAAUGUACCGAUGGAAUAUGGAUCGGGGUAACUCCGUGCCAGCAGACGGGGUAAUACGGAGGAUCCAAGCGUGAUCCGGAUUUAUUGGGUUUAAAGGGUGCGUAGGCGGCUUAUUAAGUCAGGGGUGAAAGACGGUGGCUCAACCAUCGCAGUGCCCUUGAUACUGAUGAGCUUGAAUACACUAGAGGUAGGCGGAAUGUGACAAGUAGCGGUGAAAUGCAUAGAUAUGUCACAGAACACCGAUUGCGAAGGCAGCUUACUAUGGUGUCAUUGACGCUGAGGCACGAAAGCGUGGGGAUCAAACAGGAUUAGAUACCCUGGUAGUCCACGCCCUAAACGAUGAAUACUCGCUGUUAGCGAUACACAGUUAGCGGCUAAGCGAAAGCGUUAAGUAUUCCACCUGGGGAGUACGGUCGCAAGAUUGAAACUCAAA
rnacentral:rRNA from 1 species